UCUGCAGGGAUUCUUUAUUUAAAUGCCUAACUUUCUCUCUCUACGUCUCCUCCCUCUCUUGAGUUCUUUGUGUUUUUCCUUCUUUCUCUAAAAAAAAUUAUAAAAUAUUGUUGAGGAGAAAGUGGAGGCCUUUGUAUUAUUUUGGCGCUGUGAAUUCUCAAGCGAAGCAAAAGUCUUCCUCUUCUCCUUCACACCUUUCAAUCUCAAAACCACCGAAGAAGAAUCUAGGGUUUGGCUGCACUAAUUCCAACGAGGUCUGUCCUUUGGUGCUAUUCCUGCUUUUUCAUUCUAGCUUUGAUCAUUUUCCUCUGUGAAAAUAGCUGUAUAUGGUUUCAUCUCUAUUUGGGGUUUUCUCUUUUUCAAUCAAUCUUCACUGACCCGGUUUUUAGUGUUCUCCUGGUCUUCUUUGUUUCGGAAAACUGAGCCUUUGCUAUGGUGAAAUUCCUGAAUUUUCAAUGAAAAUCUCUAGCUUGGGCGUUUUUUCAAGUUCGGUGAAAAUGGGAUUUUGACUUGGGUUUUUGUUUUGUCCGUUAUAGACGGCUGAAUAUCUGUUGUUAGAGAGUAGUUAUCUUAUAUCUCGGGGUCUUUUAUGGUAUACGUUAGUUAGGUUUUUGGUGUUCGGGUCUUUAGGUCUUUUCUUUCUUUCUUUCUUCGUUCCUUUUUUUUUUUCUUUGGUUGGGGCUUAGUAUGGAGGAGGUUGAAGGAGCUAAUAAAGCAGCCGUGGAGAGCUGCCAUAGAGUUCUGAGCCUUUUGUCUCAGCCUCAAGAUCAGGUUCAGUGUAGGAAUUUAAUGGUAGAAACUGGGGAGGCUGUGUUCAGGUUCAAGAAAGUCGUUUCUCUUCUAAAUACAGGCUUGGGCCAUGCAAGAGUAAGAAAGCUCAAGAAACUCCAAAUCUCUUUUCCCCAAAACAUACUCUUAGAGAACCCCACUUGUAGAACAGAUCAGCAGUCCAAAAAUCUUCAAUAUCUAAAGUCUGGCUUUCCUGGAAGCCCUAUUCAAGAAAUUGGCUCAAACGUGAGUAGUCUGUGUUUGGGAACCCCAUCUUUGGAAUUGAGCUCAAAUGGGAAAAGCCCUCUCCUACUUUCCCAAAAAACACCAUCAACGCACUAUCACAUCCUUCAACAACAACAACACCAGCAGAGGUUAUUGCUUCAGCAGCAACAGGCGAAACACCAAGCCGAGAUGAUGUAUGGCAGGAGCAAUAGUGGCAUAAACCUGAAUUUUGAUAGCUCUAGUUGUACUCCCACAAUGUCAUCCACUAGGUCUUUUGUUUCCUCCUUGAGUAUAGAUGGGAGUGUAGCUAACUUGGACGCAAGUGCUUUCCAUUUAAUUGGGGCACCUCACUCUUCAGAUCAGAAUUCACAGCAGCAUAAGAGGAAGUGUUCUGCCCGGGGAGACGAUGGGAGUGUGAAGUGUGGGAGCAGUGGUAGAUGUCACUGCUCAAAGAAGAGGAAACAUAGGGUGAAGAGAUUGAUCAAGGUACCUGCAAUCAGUAAUAAGCUUGCAGAUAUACCUCCUGAUGAUUACUCAUGGAGGAAAUAUGGGCAGAAGCCAAUCAAGGGUUCUCCUCAUCCUAGGGGAUACUACAAAUGUAGCAGCAUGAGAGGUUGUCCUGCGAGGAAGCAUGUUGAGAGGUGCUUAGAAGAGCCUUCCAUGCUAAUUGUUACCUAUGAAGGCGAGCAUAACCACCCCAGGUUGCCAUCACAGUCUACAAACACAUGAACUGCAUGGAGAGAUAUUUACCUAGGCCAAGCCCUUCUAUUUACUUUACGAAAAUCUAAUGUAUUGGUUGGCUUGGGAUGCUGCUGUACAUAUUUUGCAUUGCUUGACCAUGGAUAUAUUUACUGGAGCAGUUUCUUGGCUCUGAAGGGUUGGCUCGGAGCCUUUAUGUGGCAAAUGGGCAUGAGGCCCCGCACUUAACUGAAGAAUUAUUUACUGUCGGGGGUUUCAAAUUAUUUGAGAAGUCAAGAACGAGGCAUGUGAAUUGCAAGGGGACCAGAAUGGGUAGGCAUGCUUCACAUUUUAUGGUAAUAUUCUUCCCUCUGGCAUCCAUAUUAUAUAUUAUUGGGGACCAGUUGCAUCUAUCUCCAAAUCAUGGGAAGUGGUCACUGGCCGCCCUAUCUCAUGUACCGGUUUGCAGACAACCUAUUGUAUGUUCUCUUUCUAGGAGAAAAGACGUAUUUAAUGGGGGAAAAUAAAUAAAUUAUUUAAUUCCUUGAAAUCUUUUUUGGUUCUA